AGGGUUUGAUCCUGGCUCAGAACGUACGCUGGCGGCACGCCUAACACAUGCAAGUCGAACGAAGUAGCAAUACUUAGUGGCAGACGGGUGAGUAACAUGUGGGUAUCUGCCCUUUGGCCUGGAAUAACACGAGGAAACUUGUGCUAAUACCGGAUAAGUCUUUACGGAGAAAGCUUUAUGCACCAUUGGAUGAGCCCGCACUUGAUUAGUUUGUUGGUGGGGUAAUGGCCUACCAAGACUGUGAUCAAUAGCUGAUUUGAGAGGAUGAUCAGCCACAUUGGGACUGAGACACGGCCCAAACUCCUACGGGAGGCAGCAGUGGGGAAUCUUGCACAAUGGAGGAAACUCUGAUGCAGCGAUGCCGCGUGAGUGAAGAAGGCCUUUGGGUUGUAAAGCUCUUUCGUCGGGGAAGAAAAUGACUGUACCCGAAUAAGAAGGUCCGGCUAACUUCGUGCCAGCAGCCGCGGUAAUACGAAGGGACCUAGCGUAGUUCGGAAUUACUGGGCUUAAAGAGUUCGUAGGUGGUUGAAAAAGUUGGUGGUGAAAUCCCAGAGCUUAACUCUGGAACUGCCAUCAAAACUUUUCAGCUAGAGUAUGAUAGAGGAAAGCAGAAUUUCUAGUGUAGAGGUGAAAUUCGUAGAUAUUAGAAAGAAUACCAAUUGCGAAGGCAGCUUUCUGGAUCAUUACUGACACUGAGGAACGAAAGCAUGGGUAGCGAAGAGGAUUAGAUACCCUCGUAGUCCAUGCCGUAAACGAUGUGUGUUAGACGUUGGAAAUUUAUUUUCAGUGUCGCAGCGAAAGCGAUAAACACACCGCCUGGGGAGUACGACCGCAAGGUUAAAACUCAAAUGAAUUGACGGGGACCCGCACAAGUAGUGGAGCAUGUGGUUUAAUUCGAAGAUACGCGCAGAACCUUACCAACACUUGACAUGUUCGUCGCGACUUUAAGAGAUUAAAGUUUUCGGUUCGGCCGGACGAAACACAGGUGCUGCAUGGCUGUCGUCAGCUCGUGUCGUGAGAUGUUGGGUUAAGUCCCGCAACGAGCGCAACCCUCACUUUUAGUUGCCAUCAUUUAGUUGGGCACUCUGAAAGAACUGCCAGUGAUAAGCUGGAGGAAGGUGGGGAUGACGUCAAGUCCUCAUGGCCCUUACGUGUUGGGCUACACACGUGCUACAAUGGUAUCUACAACAGGAAGCAAAACGGCGACGUUAAGCAAAUCCUUAAAAGAUACCUCAGUUCGGAUUGCACUCUGCAACUCGAGUGCAUGAAGCUGGAAUUACUAGUAAUCGUGGAUCAGCGUGCCACGGUGAAUGCGUUCCCGGGUCUUGUACACACCGCCCGUCACACCAUGGGAGUUGGUUCUACCUUAAGGCAAGGUUUAAAACCCUUGACCACGGUAUAGUCAGCGACUGGGGUGAAGUCAUAACAAGGUAACCGUA
rnacentral:rRNA from 1 species